rnacentral:rRNA from 1 species
CCUACGGGGGGCAGCAGUGGGGGAUAUUGCACAAUGGGGGGAACCCUGAUGCAGCGACGCCGCGUGGGUGAAGAAGCGCCUCGGCGCGUAAAGCCCUGUCAGCAGGGAAGAAAAUGACGGUACCUGAAGAAGAAGCCCCGGCUAACUACGUGCCAGCAGCCGCGGUAAUACGUAGGGGGCAAGCGUUAUCCGGACUUACUGGGGUGAAAGGGGGCGCAGACGGCGAUGCAAGCCAGGAGUGAAAGCCCGGGGCCCAACCCCGGGACUGCUCUUGGAACUGCGUGGCUGGAGUGCAGGAGGGGCAGGCGGAAGUCCUGGUGUAGCGGUGAAAUGCGUAGAUAUCAGGAGGAACACCGGUGGCGAAGGCGGCCUGCUGGACUGCAACUGACGUUGAGGCCCGAAAGCGUGGGGAGCAAACAGGAUUAGAUACCCUGGUAGUC